rnacentral:siRNA from 1 species
CAACUGAGUCGCAGAAUAGUCGC